GUGGCUCCUGUCCUUCCAGGCACUGUGGGGCAACAGGCAGCAGCAGUGGGUCCCACCCUCCCAGGCACUGUGGGGCAGAAACAAAGUACAGCAGGCAGUGCGAUCCCAAAGCAGCGACCCCUGUUGAAUUUGUCAAUGUUUACAAAGCCUAGAUUUGGUGGCUCCCAUGUCACGGCUGCAAAGCCAAAUCUUAGUGCUACCAGGAGAGUAACACAGACCCAAGCCACUAACCACCCCACAAGUUCUCCGGCCAGCAUUGCU